rnacentral:rRNA from 1 species
UGGGGAAUAUUGCACAAUGGGGGAAACCCUGAUGCAGCGACGCCGCGUGGAGGAAGAAGGUCUUCGGAUUGUAAACUCCUGUUGUUGAGGAAGAUAAUGACGGUACUCAACAAGGAAGUGACGGCUAACUACGUGCCAGCAGCCGCGGUAAAACGUAGGUCACAAGCGUUGUCCGGAAUUACUGGGUGUAAAGGGAGCGCAGGCGGGAAGACAAGUUGGAAGUGAAAUCCAUGGGCUCAACCCAUGAACUGCUUUCAAAACUGUUUUUCUUGAGUAGUGCAGAGGUAGGCGGAAUUCCCGGUGUAGCGGUGGAAUGCGUAGAUAUCGGGAGAACACCAGUGGCGAAGGCGGCCUACUGGGCACCAACUGACGCUGAGGCUCGAAAGUGUGGGUAGCAAAC